UUACUAGGAAUAAAAACAAAAACAACACCCCAUCCUAAGGACAUUAAACCAAUAACGAUGAAAACGUAUCUCCAUGAAGCAACCUUUCCAUGAAUGUGACCGAGACCGUAAGAAAGAAUGGAUCCAAUGAUUUGGGCUAUUCCAUUAAACGCAUACCAACAUAGAGUACGCAUGGGUUGUUCUUCACGACGAUACCACAUUGCUGUGAUGUUAAUGAAUGCAGGGGUAAUAGAAGCCUCAAAGAUACCAGCUAAGAAACGAAGGCCUAGCAGAGAUGGACCAUUUCGACAAGCCGCCAUAAGGCAGACCAUAGCGCUCCAGAGAAAGACAUUACAGAAGAUGAAAUAAGAAAGACGGCAUUUUUGCAUUAAAAUAGCAGCGGGGUAUUGAGCGACGAGAUAGCCGGCAUAAAAGAGAGUAGUCAUACUACUGUACGUAUGACCGUCAAUGUGUGUGUCCGUCUUCAUACCAUAAAGAGCGGCAUAAGACAAGGCUGUUUUGUCCAAAUAUUGAAUCAUGUAUGUGAUGCACAUAACCGGCAUCAUGACCAAGUCGAUCUUCCACAACACACGCCUCGCUUCCUUUGCAGUAUAAGUAAAAUCAUCAUCAGCAAGCAGUUCCUGAGCCACCGCAUCUGCGGUUCCUUCUGCAUCGGGCAAGCGCUUGACUUCGCCGACUUCGAAAGAAUUUUUGAAAUCAUUGGUAACACCAGACUUCUUUUCCGUCAGCUCAUGAGAGGAGCGCGACGACACCCUUGAAGUGAUGGAAGACAUAAUUAAAACAAUGUAUAAAGUAGAGAGGGAAUCGAUGAAUCAAGGUAGAAAAAGAUAAUGAAAAUGAGGAAGUAUUUAAGAAACCGAUAACAAUAAAUAAUCAAAUCCCUUUAUUAUAGAGCGAUUCUUUCCAAACGAUUGAUUAAUUGGUCUUGCUUUUGCUCACAAAGCACAACUUAUUUUCCUAAUUUCGAGGUAAAAUGAAAAGGAAAUAAAAAAAUAAAAUAAAAUUAGCAAUGAAAACACCAAAUCCUAAUCUGGUUUCAAAAUGAAAGGAAUUGAGCUUCAUUUAUACCAAGUAAUUGACCGAAAAUUUUCUUUUUUAAAUAUCUGUUGCCUCUUUAGAUAUCUAUGAGCAAUCAAGUGCUUUUUUUCUGACAUAAAAUUCCCUUACUCUACUAACCUUACUGUUAGAUACUUAUCAAUGUCGCUUAACUUAUAACUGAUAAAAAAAUAUAAUCGCUUGUCCUGAGUGCUAUGGCCUAUAAUAGGGAGUUAAGAUAUCUCCUUUAGUCUGAACUGAAAAUUUUUUUAUGCCAAAGUUGACCAACAUAUCUCAAUAACUAGCAUAGAAUGACAACGAACAUUGUGUGCAGCAGUACACUACUUUCAACAGUCAAUAUGACUCACAAAGUGUUCGUCGCAUAGAUUUUUGGAAUGGAUUUUCGCAUGGUUUCACAAACGGAUAUCGCUUAACAUUGCAAAUCGAAAUGUCCGGACUACUGAUGAACAAAAAAAUCUUGUGAUCAGACAUUUUUCGUAUCUUUUCUACUUCGCGUACAUUCCCCGGUUUGUUACGUACAGUCGUCUAAAUUUACUUAAGCAAUAUGCCCAAAUUCCUUGAUAAAUUACCAUACCAGUUGAGAUCCGAUAUUUCGCUUGCUAGAUUGAGUGUUUUAUCUAAUAAUAUCGCAUCUCGUUAAGAUGACUUGCCAUACUUUCUUAUUACUAUCUUACGCUAUUGUGCAGGAGGGUGUGUAAAUACUGGUUUCUGAGGGCUACGAUAGAGAUUAUGGAGUUAAGGAUUUUUAAGAAAACUUGGUUAUUUACCCUGUUUGGGUUUGAGUUUGACAGAAAAAAAAUUUUUUUCUUGUUGAUAAAUUGACCCUAUGCAUAGUCCACGUUAUUACAAAAGAUGCCACUUUUUUUAUAGCUUAAUCGUUUCGUCCCGCUUAAAAAAUUCGUUUGUUUUGCAUGAUUACAUGCGAUUUUUGGCGAAAAUUGAAAUUUGAGAUACGCAGUUUUCAUUUAUUUAUUCAUCUACAAAUUAACUUUACAGUAGUUGAUUCUGUGUUUGUGAGUCCGUUUAUAAAUUCCUUCAAGAGACUUUAUUUUUGAAAAACAGGUGAAUGUUUUUAAUUCAAAAAUUUUUAAUGUACUUUACAAGUGUACAAACUAUAUCGUAUUUUUAAUCGAGGUUUCAACUAAUUACUAUUAUUUUCGAUUUAUUAUUGAUAUCGAUGCUAUUGUUAUAAUUUAUUUUUUACAAAUUUGA